UACGGGGGGGGCAAGCGUUGUUCGGAAUUACUGGGCGUAAAGGGCGCGUAGGCGGUUCGUUAAGUCCUGUGUGAAAUCCCCCGGCUCAACUGGGGAACUGCACAGGAAACUAGCGGGCUUGAGUUCGGGAGAGGGAAGCGGAAUUCCGGGUGUAGCGGUGAAAUGCGUAGAUAUCCGGAGGAACACCGGUGGCGAAGGCGGCUUCCUGGACCGACACUGACGCUGAGGCGCGAAAGCUAGGGUAGCAAACGGG
rnacentral:rRNA from 1 species